rnacentral:rRNA from 1 species
AAGGGUAUGGCUGUUCGCCAUUUAAAGUGGUACGCGAGCUGGGUUUAGAACGUCGUGAGACAGUUCGGUCCCUAUCUGCCGUGGACGUUUGAGAUUUGAGAGGGGCUGCUCCUAGUACGAGAGGACCGGAGUGGACGAACCUCUGGUGUUCCGGUUGUCACGCCAGUGGCACUGCCGGGUAGCUAUGUUCGGAAGAGAUAACCGCUGAAAGCAUCUAAGCGGGAAACUUGCCUCAAGAUGAGAUCUCACUGGAGCCUUGAGCUCCCUGAAGGGCCGUCGAAGACUACGACGUUGAUAGGUGGGGUGUGUAAGCGUUGUGAGGCGUUGAGCUAACCCAUACUAAUUGCCCGUGAGGCUUGACCAUAUAACACCCAAACAAUU